GUUUUAGAUGCCCAGUGGAAUAAGACCAAGGCAAAGCUGCAGCCAACAUCUAGAAAGCCAGAAGAGCUGAAGUUUACAACAUACCACUGCACCCAAAAGGCGAAACCACAGAAAGCUUUGAAAACAACGAGAGGUCGUUGAACAGAGACCCAUGAUAGAAAAAUUCAAAAACCGGUGACCUGCCCUGUUCCAGCAGAGUGAAAUCACUACAAAGCCACUGCAGUCAAAGUUUAUGUCACAACUGGACCACGUUUCACUCAAGCUGAUACAGAUCUUCAAAAGCAAAGGAAGAGUGAACGGGCAACGAAUCAAAGAAGUUCUGGCAAACAGAUUUGUGUGAUAACAUUGACAUCAGGAGGGAGUGCAUCCUGAGAAGCCUUGUUGUCUAUCUCAAAGAAGAUCCAGACACUUUGUUCAAUGAAUAUCUGGCCUCCGCCACUGAGGAUGCAGAAAGGGACAUUGCCCUCACAGUCAUGGGGAUAAACAUCAUCCAUGGAGAUGGCGAUAGGCAGCCAGAGGAUGUUGGAAUUGUUAUGGAAGGCAUCAAAGUCCUAAGCGACGUGGACACCGUCAUCAUGGGGAUCAUAAUGAUGUUUGGGGCUCAUUUAUGCCCUUGAUCUAAGCGUUCCAGACAACCUCAAGUACACAUUUGAGUUUUUCCAGAAGAUCCUAAUGAACCUGGACGGUCACAAACUGAACACAAAGAUACAGAAGCUGAAAAUCAAGUUGUUUACAUGAGAGGUGACCACUUCUUGACAAAGUUCAUCAUCGGAUCUUUAUUUCUGGUUGUAUUUUUUUGCCUUCAUUUUCACCCCAUUUAAAGACAAUCUAUGACCUACAACAUUUUGAACUUGAGAAUUGGACCUAACUUUACCUCCCCAUUUUAUCUCUGAGUGUGACUAUCCUGCACACUUCUCGCAUCCAUUUCUCUCCUCCGUUUCAUCACUCAACCCUGGAUAAAUGGAUUAAGUUCGAUUCAAGACAUUGGAAUUUUAUUUUGUAUUUUUUGAAUAACUAGUACUGUUCUCAUGUUUUGUUUUUACUUGCUUACAUUCAAAGGAUAUUUGCUGCUAGCAUCCCAUUAAUAUCAGAUUCCUGAUCUGUGAAUGUUAAGUUUUUCUUAUUUAUUUUUGUUUGUUGCCAAUUUGAUCCAUGUUGUUUUCUUUUAUUUACUCUAGUACAUUGAGGCUAAUGGCUGCAUUAGCACACUUGUGCAGGACUCAAAUGUGUUUUUGCAGUUUCCUUUGUGGUGUUGAGUGUUAAUUUUACACCACUUUAAGCUAUUUUGGAGAACCGUUUCUCGUAAAGUUUUCCUCGAGUUAUUUAAGAAAAGGUAAAACUGUUUCUUGGUGUUUUAUAUCUGGGCUUUCUAUCAAGUCAAUUUGACAUAUUUGUUAAUAUAACACUAAGUUAUUAGUCUGUGUUGGUACGCAAAUCUGACAUUGGUCUUUAUGUAAAAUUGACUUCUUGAUGUUUUGUUUUCACUGAAACUCAACAUUUUGGUUUUUGUUUUCAAGUAACUUUGACCUCCUGUGGUGUUAUAUUCAAGAUUGUUGAA